AGUGAACGCUGGCGGUAGGCCUAACACAUGCAAGUCGAACGGCAGCACAGUAAGAGCUAGCUCUUACGGGUGGCGAGUGGCGGAUGAGUGAGGAAUACAUCGGAAUCUACUUUUUCGUGGGGGCUAACGUAGGGAAACUUACGCUAAUACCGCAUACGACCUACGGGUGAAAGCAGGGGAUCUUCGGAUCUCGCGCGAUUGAAUGAGCCGAUGUCGGAUUAGCUAGUUGGCGGGGUAAAGGCCCACCAAGGCGACGAUCCGUAGCUGGUCUGAGAGGAUGAUAAGCCACACUGGAACUGAGACACGGUCCAGACUCCUACGGGAGGCAGCAGUGGGGAAUAUUGGACAAUGGGCGCAAGCCUGAUCCAGCCAUACCGCGUGGGUGAAGAAGGCCUUCGGGUUGUAAAGCCCUUUUAUUGGGAAAGAAAGGCAGCAGGUUAAUACCCCGCUGUUCUGACGGUACCCAAAGAAUAAGCACCGGCUAACUUCGUG
rnacentral:rRNA from 1 species